rnacentral:rRNA from 1 species
GCCUCCCUCCGCCGCCACUCACGACUACCUACCGGACGGACGAGCGAGGUAGGGGUAAGGUUUAGGUCGCGAAGUACGGGGAAACCGGUACGGACGCACGACAACCGACCGCCGGUGGAGGGAGUAGAAAUCCUUGGAUGUAACUCCUUCGAUAGGGAAGAUAAUGACGGUACCUAUAGAAGAAGCCCGGCUAACUUCGUGCCAGCAGCCGCGGUAAUAC